rnacentral:lncRNA from 1 species
AUGAGAAAGGAUCCAAACCCCACACAAACAAGGAACAGGGACAUGAGGAGAGGACAUCCAGAAAGCCCUGAGGCAGCCUGGCCUGUGAAGAAUGAGACUUCAAAGAAAUUUCAUGCUUUCAAUGGGACAGAGCACGCCUUCACCUACACACAGCCUGCACUCCCAGAAGUCGCUGCCUGCCAUCUGGUGGAAAUGUUUGAGAACCCAUUCUGAACAGGAGCAGACAUUCAGACGCAUAACUGAUGAGCUGGAAAAAGGCCAUCCCUGCAGGUGAGGCAGUGUCCACGCCAGGGGCCAAGGCCCUCGGGCACAUACAGCUCUUUCAUUUACAGACCCAGCACUACAAGCUCUCUAAGGCUGUAUGAAAAUCUUCUAUUAUACAAGACAGUCUGGGGGACCCAGGAGUCCAGGGACUUUCUCGGUUCACCUGGGCAGGGAGUGUUUAUUCUCCAGUGAAGAGAGGUCUUCAGGCUCCUUACAGAAACACACCCCAAUAUUUUAGCAUCAAGAUGCUCUUCCUGCUGUAUAACACAUGGGUGACAAACUCUCAUUUGAACUCUUGAAUAGGGGAAAACAGUCAUCGUGCCCCUCAGCAGCCUGCUCCUUUCCAGGUUCCAUCAUCCCAAUCCUAGUAGGUUUCCUUAUAAAAUUUCCUUCCCGCAAUCAUUUUGCGUGGCAGCAAAGGCCCAGGGAAAAAGAAAUAGGAAUUUAAACCUGGAUUCAGUUUUAACUGUGUCAUUUCCCAGCCAUGAGACUUGGGGGAAAAAAAUGACAAUCUCUAUGAGCCCCAGUCUCUUCAUCUUUAAAAUGAGUCUAAAAAUACCUCGCAGGCUGCAGCAUAGAUGAAAAGAAAUGCUAUAUGGAAAAACACCAAAGUGUCUGUUAAAUAGAGGAGUGGGUUUUCAAUCAAUCUUUGCCUUUCCCUCUUCCAGGCUCCUUACAUUUCGUUAAAGGUGUGACAAGCUGAAUGUACCCAAAGCUCAGGGUCUGGUAGCAGAUAGUGGUGAAGAGGCAGGCUUUGCAGUCAGAAUUGGAGUGACUCCCAGUCCCUCCACUGACCAGCUGUGAGUCCUCAGGCAAGGUGCUAAACCUCUCAGGCCGAGGGUUCUCAUUUAUUAAAUGACUGUAUAACAAUAGAUAUCAUCACAAGGUUGUUGUAGGAUAAAUGAGAUAAUGUAUUAUUCAUGGCAUGUGGUAGCUGCUCACUUAACAUUCGAUGAAGAGAUGAAUGCAUGGUCAAGGAAAAGCACUUAGCACAGUGCCCACACACAGUAAGCAUUCAGCAAAUGGUGUUGUCAACUUUGUUGUUGGAAAGAGCAGAGCAGAAGAAGCACUUUCUGGGCUAUUCAGGGGAUCUGUUCUUACUUAGCUUUUAUCAUAGCAAUUGAUAUUUAAUUUUUAUCUCAGCUGGGUUUUUUUAUCAUUGGCAUAGAAUCUAAAAUGAGGUGAUUGUUUUUAUUUUUAUUCUGCCCUCUCUCACAUCAAAAUAAUCCAUUGUGGCUUGAGGAGUGACAUCAGCAACAUGGCAGAGUGAGCAGUUUUCUUUGACUCUCCCCCUUCGAACUACAGCUAAAUGGACAUUCGUUGAUCAACAGAGGAUACUCACACAGCACCUCAGGCUGCCAGAGAGACCCAUGCUGCUCUACGUCAGAAGAUAGAUGGACUACCCCAGGGAGGAGGUGGAGAUAAGUGAGAACUCUGGGGCCCCCAGACAGCCUAGUACCUGUGAGUGACUCUCUCCCAGUUGACAUGCUCAUAGCACUGCCAUGGCCCCAAGGGUGGGCAUGCACAUUUAUACGACUGUGGAAACAGGUCACCACAGCCCUAAGCCCACCAUGAUUGCUCUGUGGACCAGUGGGAAAAUCUACGGUCCCACAGCAGCCCCAGGGAGUCUCCACUUGGCCCUAGUGGAGAGGCCCCGCCCACUAGGCACAAAGGCUGGAGCAGAAGUGGCUGGGCUGGGUUAGCUACCCACCAGCUGCGUUACCCACCCAUAGCUCCGCUGCAGCCCUGAGGGGUCAAGUGAGAUCCAGUGGGACCACAUGAGCAGGCUGUGACAAUCUGGAGCCCCAGCAUGAUUGCUUCUUGGUCCAGUGGGAAAAUCCACAAUCUCACAGCAGCCCCAGGGAGAGUGUUGGCUCGGCCCUAUUGAGAGGUCCCGCCCACCAAGCACAAAGGCUGGGCAACCUAGGAGCAGAUGAAGCACAGCUGGGCAAGCUAACCACUGGCUACAUUAGAUGCCCAUAGCUCUGCUGCAGCCCAGAGGGGGCAAGUGAGAUCCAGAGGGACCAGAUGGCGGCAGAGCUGUGAGUCUGGGCAAACAAGCUUCCGGCUGCCAUGAAAGCCCACAACACUGCUACAGUCCCUAAGGAGGGAGUGUGUCUAGGCAGGUCUGUGGGAGCAGGCAGCAGCACCCCAAAGUCCCCAUGUGAUUGUGCCCACAGUUUACAGGAGACACCAACGGACAACUGAAAUCCCAAGGAGUGUCCCAGGCUCAGUCAGGAACAGCUGACAGGGAUCCUGGGGGGUGCAGAUUACACAGCUCCUGCCCCCUCCCCCCACUGGCAGCAAGUGGAAGCAGUAGCCAAACUCUAUCUCUAUGCAGAGGCACAAAUCCACACCAUCAAGCAGUAUGAAAAAAUAUAUUAAAUCUCCAGAACAGAAGGAAAAUGACGACUACCCAGAAAACAAUCCCAAAGACACAGAAAUCUAUAACCUAAAUGACAAAGAAUUCCAAAUAGCUAUCAUUAAAAAAACUCAAUGAGUUAAAAGAGAAUACAGAUAGACAACUCAACGAGUUCGGGAGCUACAGCACAAAAGAGGUUAAUACUAUAAAGAAGAACCAAUCAGAAAUCUCAGAGAUGAAAAACACAAUAGAGGAGACUAAGAAAAAUAUGGACUCCAUGAAUAGUAGGGCUGAUAAUAUGGAGGACAGAAUUAGCAGUCUGGAGGAUAGGAAUAUAGAAAUGCUUCAGAUAGAGGAGGAGAGAGAACUAAGACUAAAAGAAAUGAAAAAACUCUCCGAGAAAUAUCUGACUCAAUUAGGAAAUGCAACAUAAGGAUUAUUGAUAUCCCAGAGGGAGAAGAGAAGGAGAAUGGAGCAGAAAGCUUAUUCAAAGAAAUGACAGCUGAGAACUUCCCAAACCUGGGGAGGAAGCUGGAAAUCCAUGUGACAAAAACCAAUACAUCCCCAAACUUUAUCAAUGUAAAAAGACCAACCCAUAUAUAAAAAGACCAAAGGCAUAUAGCAGUGAAGUUGGCAAAAGUCAACAACAAAGAUAAAAUAUUAAGGGCAGAAAGACAGAAGAAAAUAACCUACAAAGGAACCCCUAUCAGGCUGUCAGCAGAUUUUGCAGCAGAAAUCUUACAGGCUAGGAGAGAGUGGAACAAUAUACUCAAAAUUCUGAAAGACAAAAUCUUUCAGCCAAGAAUACUCUAUCCAGCGGAAAUAUCCUUCAAACAUGAUGGAGAAAUAAAAACUUUCCCAGAUAAACA